UUCUUCUUGGGUCCAUUUGAGGAAGUAAAAGUCGUAACAAGGUUUCCGUAGGUGAACCUGCGGAAGGAUCAUUACCAAAAGAUAAUCUUUCAAAUCGAAAGAUCUUUUCCUUUGUGCUGGCUUUGACCGUAUGUAAUUUUGGGACUUAAACAUGGCAACUUUUUUGUUACCGGUCCCAAAAACAAUUAUAUCAUCCUUAUGAAAAACUUACUGAACAACUAAACAAUGAUUUUAAUAAUCUGUUUAAAACAACUUUCAACAACGGAUCUCUUGGUUCUCGCAUCGAUGAAGAACGCAGCGAAAUGCGAUACGUAAUGUGAAUUGCAGAAUUCAGUGAAUCAUCGAAUCUUUGAACGCACAUUGCACUCCUUGGUAUUCCGAGGAGUAUGCCUGUUUCAGUAUCAUGAGCACUCUCACACCUAACCUUUGGGUUUUGUUGUGGAAUUGGGAUGCGCCGAUUUUAAUAGUCGGCACUCCUAAAAUGUAUUUCUUGGCUGUUUCCUACUACAGCAGUUUGGCCUAAUAGUUUUGACUUUUGUCAAAUCUUUGGCUACAUUUGCUUCUGGAAAUCAGUCUUGAUAAUACAGAAAACUCAUUCAAACUUUGAUCUGAAAUCAGGUAGGGCUACCCGCUGAACUUAAGCAUAUCAUAACCCGGAAGGA
rnacentral:rRNA from 1 species